rnacentral:rRNA from 1 species
CCUACGGGAGGCAGCAGUGGGGAUACUGCACAAUGGGGGAAACCCUGAUGCAGCGACGCCGCGUGUGGGGAGACGGUCCUCUGGAUUGUAAACCACUGUCUCUAGGGACGAAGAUGACGGUACCUGGGGAUGAAGCUCCGGCAAACUACGUGCCAGAAGCCGCGGUAAUACGUAGGGAGCGAGGGUUGUCCGGAAUUACUGGGUGUAAGGGGAGCGUAGGCGGGGAUGCAAGUUGGGUGUCAAAAUUACCGGCUAAACUGGUAGUCGCACUCAAUACUGCAGGUCUUGAGUAAAGUAGAGGCAGGCGGAAUUCCUAGUGUAGCGGUGAAAUGCGUAGAUAUUAGGAGGAACACCAGUGGCGAAGGCGGCCUACUGAGCUUUUACUGACGCUGAGGCUCGAAAGUGUGGGGAGCAAACAGGAUUAGAUACCCUUGUAGUC